UUCCUUUGGAUGCCAACGUAGCCAUGGUGGGAUUUUGAGGGAAUAUUCUUUUUCCCUGCACUGUGAUGACGUUUGGAGAAACAACGGUGAGGUGCAGCUGAAGAAUUCAAUCUCACUGGCAGCCUCAUUUCCAACUGGAGGUAAAACCUCCAGCUUAAACACAGCCAGCAGAAUAGAUUUCUUGCAGACAAAAAUGCCCAUAUUUUCAUUUAUUAUUUUACAAUUUUAUCCAGUUUUCUUGCAAACAGUUUUCUUGCAGACAAAAACACAGCCAACAGCUGGAGUUGUUCAAUUAUCUAUUGUAUUGAUUGGGCUCUUGUGAUUUGUUGAGUUCUACUUGAUUUUAUUUCAUCAUUUUUAGCUUGAAAGCUAGGAUCUUUGGCUGAAUAAGACUUGAAUUUGAGCAUUGAGCUUGGUUUUUAGAUAUGAAACAAGAUUGGGUUGCUUAGACAGGUUCUGUGAACUCUCAAUCUCAUCAUUAUCCAUAGAACUAAACUUACC
rnacentral:lncRNA from 1 species